UCGCAUUGCGUUCUCUAUUUCCAGGACUCACCCAGUCCGAUUGCACUGGAGCCGUGUGAAGGCAACAGGGCGGCAGUUCUUUCGCUUCUAGUCCGGCUGCCAACGGGCGGCCUUCAGCAUUCUCCUCCUGGUCAAUCGGCAGGUCUUGCCGUCGCAAGUGCAUUAGUAACGUUAGGAAACCCACGACGCUCGUCGAUAGAACAUCCGAAGGAACCUAAGACUAAGCGUAAGCAGAGCCAACACCCUGAUAGCUGUAUAUAAGAUAUCGUGUCUCUACGUGUACGUCCUCCCUCCCUUUGGACAAAGCAAACCUGGGGUCACAGCAGGGGUCAAACACGCUUGGCGGCAAUGCGCCGGCCGGACCUCAAACCCUACCGGGGAUCAUACAAUAUGUGUGUGGACUAAAUGUGCCGAAUAACGACUGCUAUUCGCAUCCACCCCACUCCCGCCUCCCUCCCCACGCAUUCGGUGUGUGUGUGUGUGUCCGUUAAAAAAGGUGAACCGGCGCUAAAUGUACGUAUGACAUCAGCAACAGGGCACAUCAGUUAGCAAGGGAAGGGAAGAACGAAGCUUUAUUGAAGGUGAAGCGAAUUCGAAACGGCACCGCCGUUGGGUAAAGACGAAUGAAAGCGAGCUAGAAUGGCUUGCAAGCCUGGAUAAAAUACAGAGUCUGAGACUAGAUAAACACACACACCCACACAUACACAUAUACAUACGCGCAUCUGCGAAGAAAGGCGUGGGGUUUACAAUAAUGCUAAUUAUUAAUUACACUACCAAUAAUAAUAAUUAUAAAAUAAUAAUAAUAAUGAUCAUGAAGCUGCUGCUGCUGCUGCUGGUAAUGCAGAUGAUGGUAGCCGAUGGCGGCAACGUGCAGUACACGGUCGGAUAAAGAGCGUAAUGUGGAGGAGUGAGUUGGGUUUAUUUUUGCAUGGUUAAUUGUCUAAUUUUUAAAACUGUAGUCAGGGGCUGUAGUAAUUAGAAACCAACCGCUAAUAUCGCCUUGUUUUGGGGGCGGUGCGUUUUUUUUCUUGAGAUGUUCCGUAGCGCGAGCAAGGAGAGAAGGAGAGUGCGUGUCUCCAGGCGAUAGAAUUUCAGUUUUCUGGUGUUUUGUUUCGUGCGUAAGAAUUUUUGAAAGCAAUGGCCAGAUGUUUGUGAGUAGAGCUCUCGGCCAUGGUUCAGUGCAGCAUUGCUCAAACCUUUGCCAAUCUGGGGGUUGUAUGACCCGUAAUUUUCAAGCGAUGUAUCGGAAAAAGUGUGCUUAAGCUGUGUAUCGUUUGCUAUUUUAAGUGAAGCCGUUCUUCAACAGUGCGGGAGGAUAGGACUUGCUACAUUUGCUGCAGACAUUUAUUUGCAUUACAACAUGUGCAUGUGUGCGUGCUGUAAAAAAAUACUCACAAGCGGGGAGAAAAAGGACUGGAGAAUUGGUAGAGCAAAUAAUUCUCCUUUAUCUGAUUGGUUUGAAUUGUGCGCUGCUUUGUUUUGGUUUUUGUUUGUUUAAAUCUACUCUGAUCUAAGAGAGAUAAAGAAGAAAAACACUACAGUGAAUAUUAGAGGGGGAGGUGCAAGAUACAUUUUAAACAUUCAUUUAUGCACUUUUUCAUCCUCUACUAGGCCAAAGCAGUGAGUGGAACAUGAAUUUUAACGCCAAAUUCAUGGUAUCAAUUUUAUGCGCGAACACAUUGACUGAAACUCAUAGAAACAUGCUGCUAUAAUCGGAUGGGGACAAACGAGAGUAGAAUGUAAUGCGGGAAUGAAGAAUGGAACAAAAUAACAUAAAAAACAAGCCGUUACAGAGAGAGAGAGAGCGAGAGAAAAGUGCCACGUGGAUAGGGCACUGUGCAGAUAGAGUGCGGUUAGUAAGCCGUUGUUGUAGUGGGUUCGAAAGUGGCCCUAGAAAAAGCAAAUCGGAGUGCGAAACAAAACAUUGAAUGCUGAGUGUAUGUGUGUGUGAGAGAGAGAAAGGAAAAAAAACAAUGUGAUUAUUAGAUAUUUAUUAAUCCACAGACACUGAACUUCACUUCGCCGUCUGUAUCCUCUGUUUCGCGUGUUCUCAUCUCAUGCCGUCUUAGUGCGUUUGUGGGGGGUUUGGUUUUGCGUUUUGGGUUUGUUUUCCGGGGUUUUCCGUCACUGUGCCACGCGGACGGCACCGCGGCACGGCAAUUUAGAAGUGAUCUCGCAUACCCGUUCCAUAAUGAAGGAUCCAACGCGAUCGCGAUCGUGUGCGCUAUAUCGGUCGUCGGUUGUUGAGCUUCCCGCGGCACCCUCAGUCGCUUGUAAAGGUCUGUCGCGUUUAAAUAGCAAUAGGUUUCAUCAGAAUCUGUGUUGUGUUCUCUUGUGCAAAGCAUUAGGGGUGGGUAAGCCAAGGGUGUGUGUGUGUUGGAAGGGGUUUUUAGAGGGACCGGUAGACCGACCGCGUGUGCGAAUGAUGAGGUUUUGAAACAGAGGUGUGCGCGUGUUCGUAAAGGUUAAAACAAACAUUGGCAAAUAAAAAGUGAAAGGAGGCCACCCAGCAUGCCCAGGCCACCGAAAACAACCGCUGCUACAAAACGCUUUAGGAUAUUAUAGCAACGAAUGAGGACAUUUAAACAACAAACAACCAUCCUUGGUGUGUUUGUGGGGUGUAUAUGCGCUGCAGCAAUGAAACAAUAUCGCCCUCGGACACUUUCCCACGUCGCAGAACAAAGAGGAAUGGGCAUUUGUCGCCUUUCAACAAAAUUUAGCAUAAGCGUAUACGUGUGUGUGUGUGUGUGUGCUAACGUGUUUCCGUUUUGCAGAGAGACUGUGACUAUAAUAUAAAAGAAUAUGUAUACAUAUGAACUGAACACAAAUUACAUUAUUUGAGAGUGCGAUGCGCCCGAUUAUCUUUGACCCACACACACACACACACACACACACACACACACACACACACACAUAAUGCUUUUUUAAAUGCAGGAUCAUACACGUGGUCACCGAAAUUCGUUUGGUUUUGGGUUAGCUCGUUUGGUUUCGAUACUAUAUAGCCUCUGGAAGUGUAAUCGAUGCCAGCAUAGCACACCGAAACCUCCCGGAGAUGGCAUGGUAAGCAAUAAACCGCAAGUGGGCGGGCAGCGGUGGGUGAUGGGGUCGUAGUAGGAAAGAGAAGGAUACGAAUUUUAAACAACAGGACACAAGCGAUGAGUUGGUUAGAGUGUGCCGAAACAGAGGUUGACAGGCAUGGCAACCUCGCGCAUACAUAUAAGCAAAUACGGUGAACAAAGCAGGUCGUAGUCGGGAGAUCAGCACGAGCGAGCAAGUAGGCAUGGAUGGAGGCCGGCAGAAAUAGUAUACAACACGAGGAUGAUGUGCGUUUUGUAGUGCAACGAAGGGAAGAUUUUGAAGCAAAGCUAGUGCUGGAAUAAACGUGUCCGGGGGGUUUUUAUCUUACAAAGCCGAAAAUCAAACGAAAUCCACUUCUCCACUCACUCCACCACCACCACCACCAAUGACAAACAUCGGAAAAAAGCAUGAAAAAUGGAAGAAAUUAAGUAUUUUAACGGCAUUUGUUGGCAGUAAUAAAAGAACAGUCAAGAAUACCAAAAACCGUA